rnacentral:rRNA from 1 species
UGAGUAAUGUCUGGGAAACUGCCCGAUGGAGGGGGAUAACUACUGGAAACGGUAGCUAAUACCGCAUAACGUCGCAAGACCAAAGUGGGGGACCUUCGGGCCUCACACCAUCGGAUGUGCCCAGAUGGGAUUAGCUAGUAGGUGGGGUAAUGGCUCACCUAGGCGACGAUCCCUAGCUGGUCUGAGAGGAUGACCAGCCACACUGGAACUGAGACACGGUCCAGACUCCUACGGGAGGCAGCAGUGGGGAAUAUUGCACAAUGGGCGCAAGCCUGAUGCAGCCAUGCCGCGUGUAUGAAGAAGGCCUUCGGGUUGUAAAGUACUUUCAGCGGGAGGAAAGGGGCGGGUGAGGUUAAUAACCUCACCGAUUGACGUUACCCGCAGAAGAAGCACCGGCUAACUCCGUGCCAGCAGCCGCGGUAAUACGGAGGGUGCAAGCGUUAAUCGGAAUUACUGGGCGUAAAGCGCACGCAGGCGGUCUGUCAAGUCGGAUGUGAAAUCCCCGGG